rnacentral:ncRNA from 1 species
UAAAAGUUUUAUCCUUGCUAAUUAAUCCUUUUAAUUUUAUUUUAUAUGCUAGUCUUGUUUCUAAAAGUGACUAUAAUGCAGUGGUUAAUAUUGGUUUUCAAUUCACUUUGGAUACAGUAAAUUUUUUAUUCCUGUCAAAUUUCGUGCCAGCAGUCGCGGUUACACGAUGGGGGGCAAGGAUUAUUUUUGGUUUAAUAGUAAUUUUAUUUUUUACUAUACUUAGAUUAUUUUAGGUGAAAUUUAUAUUUCUAACUAAUGUAUUUUUUUAUUCUAUGAAACUUGAGAUUAAAACGAGGAUUAGAUACCCUCUUAUAUUAAGUGUUAAUUUUGCCUGGGUAGUAUUAGUUAUGUUCUUGAAACCCAAAGGAUUUGGCGGUAUUUUAUUCCGUUCAGAGGAGCCUGUCCUGUAAUCGAUAUUACACGAUAUUUUCUACUUAUUCUGGUUCUCAGUUUGUAUACCUCCGUCAUAAGGGUGUCUUUUUAGAGUUAAUUCCCGGCUUUAUUCAAUGUAUAGAUGUCAGGUCAAGGUGCAGUUUAUGAAUAAGUUGAGAUGGGCUACAUUAAAUAUAUUUAAACGGAUAUGGUUUAUUUAUAGGCUAUUGAAGGUGGAUUUGAAAGUAAAAUUUAUUGAUUAGGUUUUUUGAAUUUGCUUCUAAAAUAUGCACACAUCGCCCGUCGCUCUCGUGAUAAAUGAGAUAAGUCGUAACAUAGUAGAUGUAUUGGAAAAUGUAUCUAGUAAGUC